rnacentral:rRNA from 1 species
GACAGAGGAGCCGAGCGUUGUCCGGAUUGACUGGGCGUAAAGCGCACGCAGGCGGAUGCGCGCGUGGGGUGUGAAAUCUGGCCGCUUAACGGCCAGGCGCCAUCCCAUACGGCGCGUCUGGAGUGAUGCAGAGGUCGAUGGAAUUGCCGGUGUAGUGGUGAAAUGCGUAGAGAUCGGCAGGAACACCCAGGGGGAAACCAGUCGACUGGGCAUCUACUGACGCUGAGGUGCGAGAGCGUGGGGAGCGAACCGG